rnacentral:snoRNA from 1 species
UAAAGUGAUGAUAUUCACAGACUAGAUUCUCUGAAAUAGAAGUCCUGAUUG